UCACAUGAGAAUCAUUCCACAGAGAAAGCCAAAGUAAAAAGCUACUUGAAUUACUGGUGCUAUUACCCCCUACGAAGUAGUAAAUUGCUGCAGAGACAAGAUGAUAAGGAAAUGCAUCUAAGACAUAUGAGGCAGUCAGGUUUAAAGGUCUUGUCUCUUCCCAAAGAUACAAGAAGGCCUGGCAUUGGCUUCAACACCUAGAGAAAAUGAAUUCCUACAGACACAGAUGUCAAGCAGUGGAUCUUUGAUAGUAUCUUAGUAGUCGUCUUAGAGGCAAUACAUGAAUCUGCUGCCUUUUGCUAAUUUUCGUGUUUGCUUCAACUCUGAAGUAAAGCAGUCUGGCUUGCCUGACACAUAUGGCCAGGGGACUGGAGGGUCCCUAAGUGGGAGAGUCACCGCCAGCCCACUGAGAUGGGCAUAUCUGUGCUUUCCCCCUCCCAGUGUUUGGAAAGGAGGCACAGGCCAUGACACCCAACAGGGCCAGAAACCAGACAAAUCAAGCCUGAGGAUAACACAGAAAAGAGAGAAGAUGCAGAUCCAGAGUAAGUAGCCUUUGCUGUUCUAGCUCUUGGGACUGGCUAAUAGAAGAUUUCUGCUAUGAAGCCCAUCUACAACAUGGCAGCGACAUUGUUUCUCUCUGGCAAAUGAAUUAUUGCUUGUAACAGGUGAAGAUGAAUUGGUGCAGACAAUAGGAAGCUGUGUGUAUAGUAGUAAUUCCACCAGCAUUGGUGGUCUUAUCUCAGGGGAUCUCUCUCAGUAAUGUAUGCAACAGGAGGACAUGAAGAUGGUCUCUGGAAAGGUGGUAUGCAAGAAAACUUCUGAGCUUGUGCCAGACCCUGAUGAAAUCAAAGUUGCAGGUAUGCUGUCACCCUUGGCGUGUGGAGGCUGGAACUCCCAACAUCUCCAGGAGUGCAG